CUCUCUCUCCCCGCAUCUUCUCCCUUUCUCCCCGCAUCUUCUCCCUUUCUCCUCCCCUCUGUUUCGACCGACACCGACAAAACCCCCCAGCCACUGUCACGUCGGCCACCCAGCCACCGGACCGGUCAAGUUUUGACUGGCGUCGCACCCCAAGCCAGCUCCGACCUCCUCCUACCUCUGCUGCUGCUGUUUUGCCGGAAAACCCCGGUUUUGAUCGGAUUUUUACUCGGUUUUCUAAUCCCUCGAUCUCUCUCCUCUGGCCCUCAAAUCCUUCGAUUGAGAAAACGAAACUUCGAUGCAGAAACUGAAACUGCGAUGCAGAAAACCGCAGAAACAGAGAUGAAGAAUCGGCUUUGAUCGUUGGUGGUCUUCGAUGAUGGUCGUGCGAAUGGGUUGGUGGUCUUCGAUGAUCGUUGGUGGUCUGGAAGUUUCUGGAGGUGAAGUUGAAAGGUCGCGCGAAUGGGUUCUGAUUCAAUUUCGGUUUUGGUUGAUGUUGUUUUGGUUCAGUUUUGGUUUGAUGUCGUUUUUCAGCUUUGGUUUAAAACUAAAUACUGAAAAUGGCAUAUGUUGUAAUUUUCAUAUUUUGUAAUGGUAUUUUUGUUACAUUUUGGUGUUUGGCCUUUUGCUAAUUAGACUAAAU